rnacentral:rRNA from 1 species
UGGGGAAUAUUGGACAAUGGGCGGAAGCCUGAUCCAGCAACGCCGCGUGAGGGAUGACGGCCUUCGGGUUGUAAACCUCUUUCACCGAUGACGAAGCGCAAGUGACGGUAGUCGGAGAAGAAGCACCGGCCAACUACGUGCCAGCAGCCGCGGUAAUACGUAGGGUGCGAGCGUUGUCCGGAAUUAUUGGGCGUAAAGGGCUCGUAGGCGGUUUGUCGCGUCGGGAGUGAAAACACCGGGCUUAACUCGGUGCUUGCUUUCGAUACGGGCAGACUAGAGGUAUGCAGGGGAGAACGGAAUUCCUGGUGUAGCGGUGAAAUGCGCAGAUAUCAGGAGGAACACCGGUGGCGAAGGCGGUUCUCUGGGCAUGACCUGACGCUGAGGAGCGAAAGUGUGGGGAGCGAACAGG